GAAGUGGCCCAGACCGCCGCUGGGGCAAGACCCGAAAGGGUGCCCUGGAGGAAGGUCCGGACUGCAUAGAGCAGCGUAGGGGGUAACACCCCUCCGGCGUGAGCCGAGGAUCAGAGCAACAGAGACGAGUUUGAGUGGGUAGCGCGGGCGCGGUGCAAGCUGCAACCGCCGCGAAACCGUUCAGGGGUGGUCUGCGGGUCCAGCGCAAGCUGGGAGCCGGUGCGCAAGCGCCGGCUUUGGGUGCAACCCAAAACCCGCAGCACCUUGGGCGGCCCGGGCGCCGCAAGGCACUCGACCCGCCCAAGGUGAAACGGGCAAUCUCUACGCGCAGCAACACCAAGUAGGCCGGUUUUGAGGUGGCUCGCUGAGCCGGCGGGUAGGUGGCAUCGAGCCGGGGUGUGAGCCCCGGCCCAGAGGAAUGGCGGUCACCGCAAUCGAAAGAGAGCGGACACAGAAUCCGGCCUAUCGGGCCGCUUCACGA
rnacentral:RNase_P_RNA from 1 species